rnacentral:misc_RNA from 1 species
GAACCACCAAAUUGUCUUGGGUAACCAUUCCAAGAGUGAUAAUUUUCUCAACUGGUAUAUCAAUUGAUGAGUCAAGUUCAAGUGAGAUGUUUUGCACUCAUUUGAUUUUACUUUUGGAGAUCACAGUUGGUUCUGCUCACUACUAUAUGUUGUUGGUUACAUUCAUUGAAUUUUUGUAUGUUGGUCCUGAACUGCAGAAUUUUCAUUUGAGUGUUUGGUUAUGGCCCUCUUCACUACUGUAUCUGUGCUUUAAUUGCAGUAUGAUAUUCUUUUCUCUUGAUA